GGACCUUAAGGAGAGAAAGAGAAAGUAAGAACAUUAGUCCAGAAUUUUAGCAUGGAAAGGGGCUGGAUUUUAACUCCUGAAUGGAGUGGUGUGUGAUGUUAGUUGAAAGUAUUAGCUUAAUAUUAUUUCCAUUACUAGAUGCAGUUUUGAAGAAAACAAUUUCCUUCAAUAAAUAUUUCCACCUAAGGGAAAUACCGUAUUAUUUCAGCUGCUAAGUUGAUCCAAAGAGUCAUAAAAAUGUGAAGACCAGACCAGAAGACUUUCUAGUAUACAUCAUAUUUCUAGUCAUAGUGGCCAUUUUAAAAAUUAUUUCUAGGAAGCCUACAAGUAGUUCCUGGAAAAAUUGGAAUUUUUUGUUGUUUCUUCUUUGAGUACCUUGUAUUCACAGAUUUAAUACCCCAAAACAAGGGGAGUUCCACUCUGUUGGUUAUGACAGUUGACAUCUUUUGCAUUACUAACCAUUUAGUGGGGGAAAGAAGUGGUGACCACACCAUUUAAUUGUGUCAUUUCAAUCUCUGUCUUAAUAUCUUAAUCUCUUUGCCCGCUGCAUUUAAAUAAACAUACUUUCAUGAAUCCACCCAGUGCGCUAGAUUGGAUUGUCAGAUCUUUUGCAAUAUAAGAGCAUCUUUAUUUCAUCCUAAAUUUUGUUAUUUGAGCUCUGCUACUCACACAUUUAUGGAGGCCCUCAGCUCCUUCUUAACAAGAUGUUUCUACUAAAUUCUCGGUCCCUCAAAGGACUUGGGAGCUGAGGAUCUGAGCAUCAGGCAAUUUCUCGGCAUAAGUAUUUAGUGCUUCAUUAAGCUACAUUUGGUGCUCUGUGCCGAGACUGGGAGGAAACUUUUGCAAAUGAAAGAAACCGCACCUCUGAUUGGAGUCACUGGAGCUUUGCCCCAACCAGCUCUGCCAUCCCAAAAUGAGUCUACAAUUCCUUUUCAAUCCAGAAGCUGACCCUGUUCAGCUUCAUCCAACAAAGAGAAUAAUGACAUUCAUUCAUUCUUACUCUCUUCUUUCAGGCUUCUCUGCCUGCCUAUAUGGACCUUCUUUCUGUAGUUGACUCCAAAAGCAAGGUAGAUAAUUCUGUGGUUGUAGUUUAAAGUCGAUGUACAGACGUAACCACAAUCAGUUUUUUUGGGUAACCUGUUGAGAGAACCUGAAUCAUUUAAUGAACAGUUUGUGGUUCAAUCUUUCCUGCAAAUCCAGAAAUUGAAUAAAGUAAGUGAUUAUUAAUGAAUUGACAUGUGGGGCCAACAGAGCCUAUAUGUACCUUAGAUUUACUUUAGAAAUAUGUGCCGUAAUAAAAUAGCUGCAAUUUAAUCCUCUCACUCUCAUCUGCUCUGUUUCUAAAGAGGCUUUUAGAAUGAUAUGGAAUUAAGAGCAUACUGCUAAAAAAAGUACCGUCCACUAAACUAGGAAGAUUCCCCGCUCCCAUCCAGCAAUAGCUGAAUUCAUACAACCCAUUUAAUGUGUUUAUUAAUUGCCCCAAUUUCUGGGUUUCCACCCAUACCAUGAAACAUAAGCCAUCCAGGCAACCUAAGCUCAGUCCACACUUGUAAGACACAACAUAAUUGAUUAAGCUUGUAAAAAAAUGCAGCCAUUAUAACUACCCUGGUGAAGCCUGCAAAACAGUAGGUCUGGGAUUGUUGAACACAUUUAAGCCAUCUUGAUGCUGUCUAACAAGUUCCCUCCCUCAUUCCUCUUUUAAAUGUGUUGGGUUUGAGCUACAAGCAGGGCAGUUCAAUGGAUUUGUCUUUUUGUCUGCUGGAUCUCCAGGGCUUUAAUUCCAAACAGGGGAAAUGAUUUCAAGAGGUACUAUGAGGAAAGGUGCCCCACAUGCAUUUGGAAAGCCUGAGAAGUGUUUCUUCUGGUUGUGUGUGUGUGUGUGUGUCUUUAACGAACAGGGACUGUUUUAGAUGGGAAUUUCUCUGUUCUUUAAACCCAUCUUUACUUCAAAGGUCAACCCCAGUCCGCUUACUCUUUUCACUCAUUGUUGUGCUCAUAUGCUCAAGAACCUGAGGAGAAGACAUUCAUACAGAUGGAAAGGCUCAUGUUCCACCUACUUGCAAAAGGAAAGGGCUCAUUUUAGGGGGAAAGCUUUUUUCUCCUGGAAAUGUCUGUCCUGGUUAUAUCCCAAAUCAGCAGCAAAUACAUAUUUACAAAAUGGAAGCAACCAUAUAUGAAUGAGGAGGCCAGUGGAUUUAAUGCAGACAUAGAUCCCAUUACAGAAAUUAUUCUUGCACUCAAGUUCCUCUGAAUCAAAAGGUGGGACAGCCUCAGGAAAGCAUGAUAUGUAUGUAUGUAUGUAUGUAUGUAUGUAUGUAUGUAUGUAUGUAUGUGUCAGAGGUAGGUUUCAGCAGGUUCUGACCAGUUCUGAAGAACCGGUAGCUGAAAUGUUGAGUAGUUCAGAGAACCGAUAAAUACCACCUCUGACUGGCCCCGCCCCCAUCUAUUCUCUGCCUCCCAAAUCCCAGCUGAUCGGGAGGAAAUGGGGAUUUUGCAGUAUCCUUCCCCUGGAGUGGGGAGGGAAUGGAGUUUUUACAGUAUCCUUCCCCUGCCACGCUCACCAAGCUUUGCCAUGCCCACCAAGCCACGCCCACAGAACCGGUAGUAAAAAGUUUUGAAAUCCACCACUGGUAUGUGUGUAUAUAUAUAAAUAUAUACAAAUAUAAAUAAGUUACUUUCAAGUGGGGAGAGGUGAAAUGUAACCUUAUGUCUGAGAAGUUAGCUCAGUUGUGAUGAGCGAGUCAGGGAUUGGUCUGUUUUUUGCUUUGUGAACUUGCCAGUCACUAACCCUUUGCAAGUCUUGUGUACUCUUUAUCUGCCCUAACCUUUCUGAACUCCACAAGAUAGGUUUCCAUGGGUGGAUACCCAUACAGGUCCAGGAAAGAUCCCUCUGGCAUUUAAAUAGGUGCUUGUUGAAUUCCUAGGCCCUAAAUAUAAUUGAAAAUAAAUCCACAUAAUGCAAUAUAUUCCCUGCUAAAGCUUUUUGUGGAUGAUGACUUUAUCUCUGUUUUGCCACCUUAAAUCUAUUCAAUGCCACCUCCCAUGUUGUCCCUUAAGAGGACAGAUAGUACUGAAAUUAGAUUCUCAUAUCUAGUAGUAGAACUUAGAGUGAGUUCUAUAGCUUCUUUUUCCUUUAGCUACUGUGUUUAGAAAACUAGGAAACAUAAUUUGGCUACAACUGGGAAAGGUCGAGUGCAGCAUUUUAUGGAUUUAAUUAAGAGAACCCUUAGCUUCUUCAAUAAUCUAUGUACUUGGUAGGAUCCAAUCCUAGAUAAGUUUACUCUGAAGUAAGUGUCAUGGAUUUCCUAAAAUAGUCAUUUAUGCAUGGCUCUGGAUAUUUCACAUUGCUGACCUUUCAUUAUCUGUCUCAUUAAUGUAACACACUUUUCUAAGAGGCCAUACACUUAGAUUGAUGUUGACUGAUAUUAAUACGAUAAGAUUGAUGUUGCUCAUAAUACCCAUCCUGCUUCCCUCAAAGGCUGAAAACCAGAACUCAUCUGAUCACCAUCAUUCUACUAUUUGUUUAGUUCUUUUGGUGAGGUGGUGGUGGGGUACAUCACCCUUGUUCCAAUAAUCCUGUUUUCUUGGCUUUUAAAGCAACGAAGACGAGGGUUAUUUAGUUGUCAAUUUGGAGACACUCCUGUCCUCCACGUAAAGAGAAUUGUAUUCAGUGAGGAAAAAGUCACAGGCAGUGGUACAACAUACCGUACUUGGUAUAUACAACAUUUCAACUUCAGUCUCAGGUAUCCAUUCAUCUAGCUAGGAGGGAGUUUGUCAGAAAUUUUGAAGAGACUGUAAUAACAGGAGUGUACACAGGGCUAACUGGCAGCUCACUCAAUUGGCAGCACAGACUCCAAACAUUAUUAUGGGUCAGCCGUCAGCGUAUUGCUCCUACUACUAAUUAAAUAAGCAACAGUAAAGUAAAACAUGGGUUGUAUUCACACAUCCAUUAUCCUGUAGAUGGCAUUAAGACACAAAUACUAGAGGUUUGAUUCUCAGUACGACAAAAGUAUGAAGGUUUUUCAUCUGAAGAAAGCAACAAUGGUUACUUAAUUGAAUAAUAACCUUGGUAGCCUAGUCUGAGAUUCAUGGGAUUCUACCUAUAAAAUAUGCUGACCGAAAUCCUAAAUGUGUUUACCGAAUCACUUUUGACUGACUUAACCACUGUUUAAUCAAUAGACCCAGUUUUUGGGUUUGCCUGACAAAACACUCCAGCCACAAAACACUCAAAAUUAAAUAGUAAUUGGCAAAUCUGUGGCUGUUUAUGUCCUACAAACCAGCCUCUGUGUCCAUAAGGGUUUUUUUCCCCCCAAUACAAUGCCUUAAACUAGUGGCAGCCUUAGCCUUUUCCGAGCUCAGAACCCCAAGCAAAAUUGGGCUUGAUUAAUUCGUGGCAGAGACACCUUGAGGGAAUCUUAGGGCUGAAGAAGUUGAAAAAGUAUCCUGAAAGAAGGCAGCAGCCAACUAUUUCUUCACCACUGCCAAAGCAAUUGCACGGAUGUCAACAGGAGUUGUGUUCCCCUUGACAGAGACUUUACCUUUAUCUUCGACUUUGAUCCACCAGAGCGUUUUAGGACUUCUAUUCAUCUUCACUUCAGACUACAUUUCUCCAGGAUUUCUCACCAGAAGCCAGCUCGUACACUGAUCUACUUGGCUGCAAGAUGCAGGAAAAGAGAAGGAGUCUCCGGAAAAGGAAGACCACUGGCUUCUUUCUCCAGAAAAGAAGCUGGCUCUUCCUUUGAACAGUCUUUUCC